CAACCGAGAACACCACCCCCCCGAUCCCAGCCGUUAACAAAGUCCCAAGCUACCCAUCCCGUGUCUGCAGAUUAAGCAUCACGGAAGAGCUCUUCUUCCGGAUUCCUUCCACGUCCACGAACCAAGUCACAAUCUUCUUCCGAACUCCCAGAUUUCCUCUCGUUUUGGAAUAACUCCAUUCCGUUUACAUGCUGUUCGUAACCCAUUCUUAUCCCACAGAUCAGCUCCAUCCUUGCAAGCUUCACGGCAUCCAGCUUAUCCCCUGCAUCCAAGAGAAUCCACCCUUCAUCCCGUUGUGAUUCAUCCUCACCCGUGAGCCAUAUCCUCCUUCCGGAUCACAUCUCCCAGCAUCUCAACAUUCCGAGAUCCUCCCAAACGAAACAAUGUUCAUCCACAACGUCCCAGCCAACAAAUCCUCUUCCGGAUUCCUCUGUUUCGGGAUUAAUUCCAGCCGAGACCCAUCCGGAUUUGCUCCCAACUUCACGUGAGCUUCA
rnacentral:lncRNA from 1 species